GGAGGCGGCCUCGGCGGGCCGGGCGGGCGCUUCCGGGGCGCGCGCCCGAGCGUCUCCGGGUCGCGGUCCCUCAGCGCGGCCGGCGGCGCCCUCAGACCGGCGGGCCGGGUCUCGUGUCCGCCCCCCGGUCGCCUCCGCCCCGAGCGCGGCUCCUCAGGCGAGGCUCCCGGACGCGCGGGGGUCGGCGGAAGGCGCGGGCCGGGGGCGCACGCCCCGCAGCGGGGAGCCGAGGCCGAGGCGGCGCGGCCGCGGGGUCCGGCCGGCGCGUUUCCCGCCCGGCUGUGGUCCGAGGCGUCCGCCGGCGGAAGCCCCCCAGCCCUGCUGCUUCGCUCACUUAACUAGGCCGCCAGCUGGAGCGCGUCUGGGGGCGACGGCAGGGCCCCAGGAGGCCGGGCCGGGGCCUGGCGGCCGGACGCACGGACCCCCUCGGGCCCUUCGCGGCCCGGGGCGCGUGACCCCCGCUCCGGUUCCAUCCGGAACCUGCAGAGUCGCGGCGGCAGCGUCGGCCCCGCAAGGAGGGAGGUUGGGGAGGGUUAGACGGGUUAACAGGCAGAGCCCCGCGCUGCUGUGCCGCUGGGAAGUAAGAUGCCCUGUUUCCCGGGGGCUUCAAGGCAGCAAAGAGCCGCUUAGGAUCCGGGGCGAGGGCGUGUGUUCCGUGGAUGAUGGGGUCGCCGCAACAGCGGCCCGUCAGAUGCCACGUCCACCGCGGAGCUGGGGGCGGGUUGCCCUCCCCGGCGAAAGGGACGUUGCAGAGAUGCUGCAGGAUCCUGGCGGAGGGAGAGCCUGGGGUGUCCGGGUGGGCCCGUGGUGAUCCCGAGGUUAAGUGCGGGAGCGGGGCGAGGGGAGGAGCCGUGAGGGUGGAGGCCGUCCGUGUGCCUUCACCGCCCCUAAACCGGAUGCCCCCGAAAAGGCAGCUGCCGGUGCGCCUGCUGCUUUCGGGCCGUGGGGUUUUCCCGCUGGCUGCUUUAUAAGGUGUUCUUCUCGUAGGUUUGAUUUCUGCUCCUGUGCUAUGUAUGUUUGGGAGCGUGUUCCUUUUUAUUUAUGGUGCUUGAGAUACACCGGACCUCCUGAAUGUGUUGAUCAGUGCCUUUCAUGGGUUCUGGGAAAUUUUCAGCCGUUACCUCUUCACAUGCUGCUUCUGCCCCCACUUUCUUCUCUCCUUCUGUAACUCCAAUUAGGUGUCUGUCAGAUCUUUUCCAUCCACUGUUUCUCUUACCUUCUCUUUUUUUAUAUUUUCUAGAUUACUAAUUCUCUCUUCUAUGGUGUUAAACUUAUGUAUUGAGCUAUUUUGGGGGGGGAGAGGGAAUUUUAGGUUCUAGAAUUUCUACUUGAUUCUUUUAAAAAUCUGUUCGAUUCAUUAUUUUUCUUUAAAGAUUGGCACCUGAGCUAACAUCUGUUGCCAAUCUUUUUUUUCCCUUCUUCUCCCCAAAGCUGUCCAGUCCAUAGUUGCAUAUUCUAGUUGUAGGUCCUUCUAGCUGUGCUAUGUGGGACGCUGCCUCAGCAUGGCCUGAUGAGCGGUGCCAUGUCCAAUCCCGGGAUCCGAACUAUCGAAACCCUGGGCCGGCGAAGUGGAGCACUCGAACUUAACCGCUUGGCCCCAGGGCCGGCCCCUAGAUUCAUUUUUAUAAUGGCUAACUCUUUGCCAAAAUUGUCAAUCUUGGCUUUUAUCUCUUUGAAUAUAGUAGGCAUCGUUGGUGUCCAGUCUGGGUCUCUGAUAGGUCCAAUAUCUGGAGUCCCAGUGGGUCUGUUGUAGGUUCUUCGUUCUAGUUAUUUGUUGUGUAUUGUUUAAGCUGGUUCUUGCUCCUGUUGUCACCUGUCUUUGUAUGCUAGACAUUGUAACAGAAACACUUGAAACCCUAGUGAAACAUAUGAUGAUUUCUUUUCCCCACAGAGGAUUUCAUUUUCUUCUGGCCGGUGCCUCAGGAUGCCAACAAACAGGAUCACUCUAAUCCAGAGCGUUGGGCACUUGGGGGGACUGAUUUAGUCUGGUUCACUCCACCUUCCAGGGUGCUGUCCUUCUGAGGACCAGCUGAAAACAGGUUUACCAGAGUCACCACUCUUGACAGGUCCUAGACUCCAUAUUUUGUUCCCUAGAUUGCUUCUGAAUCUGGAAAUGCCCCCAGGGCAAAAGUGCUCUGCAUGUGUGGACCCUGUCCUCUUCUGCUUCUUGGCCAGCUAAUUUCUCACUCACUACCUGGUUAGCUUUUGAUGAUUUAAAAAUGUUGUUACAGGGUACCUCCAUACUUGGCAAUGUUCAAAAAAUGAAAUAUUAUUAUAGAUUACAAAGGAUAACGCGUAAUAAUAAUGACAACAAUGACAAAAAACUCUACCACUUAUUGAGUACCUUCUGCGUACCAGCCUCUUGGUUGGACCUCUUAUAGUCCUUAAUGUAAGUAGAGGAAAGAUUGGAGACUUGGGUUCUUGUCCUGGCUUGACAACUGAUGAGCCAAGUAACUUAGACAAGACCAACCUCAAGUCCUCCAUGAAGAUCCCUCUCAGUUCUUAAAUUCUGUUAUUCAAAUCUACAUAGAAUUGAACGUCCAAGGCGCCUUGGGAGGAACUUGCCGGUGGUAUGUUAAAUGUUGCAGAGGAACUUCCUGCUAGCCCACCUGCGUUAGUUUCCUAUUGUUGCUAUAACAAAUUACCACAAAUGUAGUGGCUUGGAACAAUGCAAAUUUGUCAUCUUACAGUUCUGGAGAUCGGAAGUCCCAGACGGAUCUCACUGGGCUGACAUCAAGGUGUUGGCGGGGCACUCCUGGAGGCUCUAGAGGAGAAUCCGUUUUCUUACCUUUUCCAUCUUAUAGAGGCUGCCCACAUUCAUUCUUUGGCUGUGAUCCCCUUCCCACAGUUGCAUCACUCCAAGAAUAUAAACAAUAUAAAAUCAAAGUAUUUUAGAAGAGUGGCAAAGAGGCUGGAAAGGAGAUAAAUAAUGUUCUAAGGUUCUCUGUACAUCUGCAGCUUCUCUUUAUAGAGAACUUGCUCUCCGUUUCCUUGCACGCGGCUGUGAGACACUGGCGUCCUCAGCUCCAGAGUUCAGAUAACCACCAUUCCAAAAAAUGGCCAGCUGUUUUAGUUUCAGUUACAAAAUCUAAGGAGAAAGCAACUGACUAGCUCAGUUUUUAUCGGAGUCUACUCCUAGUCCAAUCAAGUUUGUCUAGGGGUGGGGUGGCAGAGUGAAAAUGUGGCUUGCAAAUUCUACUCUGUCAGUUAGGAAGGGUGGAGAAUUGUCAGUGAAAGAUGGUUGCUUUGAGCUAAGCAGACACCCCAAAGGUUGUGUAACACGUUCCACCUAUUGGAUGGCAGCACACAGACGAAGGCCUGAUGGUUGGGAGAGGCAGAUUCAAAUCCAUAAGUAUUUAAUACAUGCUGUCAUUCUGGCUUGCUCCAAAUAAGCCAAUGUCAUAAUCUCUGUAGGAACAUGAUUUUGGUUCUAAGAGACCACAGGCCAUAGUUUAGCCCUGUGGUCCCCAAUCUUUUUAAAAUAUUCCUCUCAGUAUGACCUUUUUAAACAUGCACCCAUAAUAUAUGAAUAUGUAAAUAUUUUAUUAAGGCAUUUCAUGUGAACAUUUUUAUACCGUGAACAAACAUGCAAAUAUAAAAUUUUAAAGAGUGAAAUGAACAAGAUUUUUAAAUGUCUUGCUAAUCAUAAUGGCUUCAUAUUAUCAUUGGUGGAUGUAAAUCCAUAUUUCAAAUAGUCGUCUUGAAAUUUUUGAGCCUCCUCGUGUCAAGUCUGGUUACAUCAUCAUUGUUUUCAUCUCAGUAUGUGGCUGACAAGAGUUCGUACCAGAAGUGGACAAGUGUUGGCUCUGCCGUUUUCUUGUAUUUCAGUUGUACUUUCAUUAUUAGUAUCAGUUAUUUACCAUGGUUUCUUAGGAUUCUUUUUAAGACACUCAGGCGUUUUGUGAUGGUUAGCUUAGUUAAAACUGGAAAAUAUAAUCUAUGAGUUGAUGUAACUGGACUCUCAAACUGCCAGCUGUCAUAAUAUACUAUCACGUGAAGUGUAUUAAGUGCCUGUGUGAGGGAUCCCUUUAGAAUCCUCUGCAUUGGAGGGGGAAUCCCCCUCUUUCCUCAGGAUUGCCCUCAGUGAGAGGGAUUAUGUAGAAAGUGAAAGAAGUUAAUGAUUCAAAGCUCCUCGCUUUCAUGGGCCCCUAAUCCUUUCCAUUCCACUUUCCCCUCUGUCAUACAUCCAUCCUUCGUGUUGGAUGGGUGUUGGACUGGCAGCGGGCAUCUUUUGGGAUCUAAGUGGAAGCUGAAUGGGCUGGUGCAUUUAAUUUGGGUUUAAUGGAAAAGAUGUAUGUGUAAGUUAUCAUUAGCCUUCCUGAUGUAGGAAUGCUUUCCAGGAAUAUUUUUACACUGCCGACUCAUCUAGCUCCUGGGACACGAAGAUGCAAGGCCAGAGGUCAGAUCGUGAUCUGAGUGUGUCCAACCAUGCUGGGUACUAGGAGGAUGGGGGUAGUGGAGGAGAAACAAUUCGAAAUGUAUGGAAUCAGAUACUGUUCUUUAGAGAAUUUGUCUAAAGAGACAUGCAAAAUUAUAAGUGGAAGAUUUGGUUCUCAUUAAUGCCUAGUCAAAAUGGAAGUCUCUACUGGCAGGAAUACACUAAAUAAUGAGGCAUAUAAAAUUAACAACUCACCACACAUUUUUUCUUUCUUUUUUUUUUUUAGAUUGGCACCUGAGCUAACAACUGUUGCAAAUCUUUUUUUUUCUCCCCAAAUCCCCCCAGUAUAUAGUUGUAUAUAUAUAUUUUUUUAGUUGUGGGUCCUUCUAGUUGUGGCAUGUGGGAUACCACCUCAGCGUGGCCUGAUGAGCAGUACCAUGUCUGCACCCAGAGUCCAAACCGGCAAAACCCUGGGCCACCAAAGCAGAGCAUGCAAAGUUAACCACUUGACCACGGGGCCAGCCCCCCAUUUUUUCUCUCCUUAUGAGAAAAAUCACAUGAAAUUGAAAUUUCUGUGUUUCUUUUCUUCUUCUAAAUAACAAUUUGCUUUCAUUCCUUAUUUUGGAUUCAUAAUUUUUUGUUCUUUUUCUUUAAGAAAGCUCCCAAAAUACGGUUGUAUCAGGCCACAAAAAACCUAGAUUCAUGCCUGCCACAUACCUGAGUGACAUGAAACCAUUUGACAUAUGAAUUAAGUAAGAACAAUAGUGUCAAUUCAUAUAUUAAAUAGUCGUUAAACUUAAUUUUUCAAUUUUUUAAAUAAAAAAUAUAAAAGUAUGUGGUCUAAUAUGUUUCCAUAUCUCAGUGAUGAGAUUUGUAUGCUCCCCUUCAGAGACAAUGGGUCAAACCAACUAUUUUGCUAUGGUUGAAUAAGAAAGGCUUGCUGCACGCCUAGAAAAAUGGGGCAUCCCACCCUCCACUGCCUCUCCUUGAAUUGGUCACUCACACAUUUCAAGCACUGCACUUCUGUCACCAAGUUCUGUUAGACUGAACCAUAUAAAAUUGUAGUUUUUAUAGGUCAAAAAUGGUCUAACAUUGGAAAAUUCAUAGGUUCACCAUAGUAUAUCAUUUAGGAUGCAUUCAGCUGCAUGUAAAAGAAACAAGACUCAAAUUGACAUAAACAAUAAGGAAACAUAUUGUGAGGAUAUUGGUGAACUCACAAAAUUGACUAAAAGGCUUUAGAAGCAAGUUUGGAAAACAGGCAGAAACCAAAGAAGGCAAAGUAGAGGUUUGAGACCCAACUCUGUCAUUUUGACCCAACUGUGCCAUUUUGAGCAAGAGUUACUUAACCUCAAUGGGACCUGUUGAAAAAAAUGGGGAUAAUAAUAUCUACCUCAAAUGGAGCAUUAGGUUAAGGAUGAGAGGAAUGGAAAGGGGCCAACAAUUAUUGAGCAUAGAGUAAUGUGUGCCAGUCCCUGAGAUGAAUGCUUUAUAUGCAUCAACUCAAAUUAGAAAGUAUAUGUACAGUGUGGGGGAUGGGGGAGUUGGUAAUCCUUAGAAGCACAGAUAUCACUUUAGCAUUCUCUGGGAGGAUGUGUCAGUCACAACCUAGCAGGAAAGAGAUGGCACACUCAACGGGAAAAAUGGAGGAGAAUUUAAUGGAGUAACCAUUUAUGAGGGUGUGGGCAGAGUUAGGAGACACCAAUAAAGGAUGAUGAAGCACUGUAGGGCAAGCCUGGAGGGACAAAGGAGUAGUCAGCAACUAAAACUCAGGAAGAGACGUGUGAGAGCAGGUGCCCGACUCUGCUGUGGCCUGCCGUGGAGGCACAGUGCAGAGCACCCGGAAAACAAAGACCUGAUAUUACUCCUCUCUCGACCUUAGACCUCCUAGUAGGGCCUCCCAUCAGUUAAACCCAACUGGAAGUCAGAGGGAAAGAGGUACCAUUGAUAUGGUCCAAGAAGGUCACCCACUGGGGCAGAGAGCAGGGUGGAAAAGGGUGGAAAGUGGAUUCGCAGGGGCAGAGGAGAAUAUCUAGCACAGAAAGUGUAGAAAUGAGCAAAGUUACCUCGUAUAUAUGUUCUCUUGUGGGAUCAGAAAGAUUUAAUCCACCUGUUUGGAGACCAGGGACUUCAGAGAAAGGAUCUUUCUAGGCUGGGCUUACAUCAGAACCUGCCUUGUUCUAAAUUCUAGCUCAAGGGUGAUGAGAUUAGAGUGUGUUAGUCAACUCUGAUUAAGCCUUCCACAAGGCCAAUUCAGUGAUUAAAUUAACAGUGAGCACUUACACCAGUUUUUAAAAAUGUCUGCUCGUCACUCAAAGUCAAGAAGAAAUGUUGCAUCUCAAGAGCUAGGUAAGCUGUUAUGGAGCAUGGGUUCUGACUAGCAAGCUGCUGUAUCCCAAACUCCAUCUCAUUUUCAUGGAUCCUCCCCAAAUUAAGCUAAUCCUGCCACUCACCCCUUUUUCUGUAUGUGGUCUCUCUUCUUCAGUAAACAAUCCCGAUUACAUGGGGCCAGGAAUGGAACUACCUAGAUCAAGUUACAAACUCUGCACUAGCCUCCAACAGCAUUAAGAUGGGCCUUGGAAGCAAGCAGAGCUGAAGAAAAGAAGGACUGCUGGGAAGGCCCCGUUGCCUGAAGCUGUGAUGUCCCAGGAAUCAAGGGAGCAGGCCCAGCAUGGGGCCACAUGAGGAGCUGGAUCUGCAGACUGAGGUUAUAGGUCCUUCUAGUUCUGCUAUAUGGGACCCCACCUCAGCAUGGCCGGAUGACCAGAUGAGUGGUGCUAGGUCUGCACCCAGGAUCCGAACCAGCGAACCUCGGACGCCAAAGCAGAGCAUGCGAACUUAAGCACUCGGCCACAGGGCCAGCCCCUAAGCAUGAAGUUUAAAUGGAAUGUUUAACAAAUGGAUGGGUCUGCAUUUUGGAGGAGGUCAUUUAGAACAGGCUUUGAAUAGUUUUGACAGCAGCAAGUCCUUCACCUGAUGCUUUGUUUAAUUUAAGCCUUCUAACCAAAUGAGAUACAUGAGGAGAUAUUCCUGGGUACCAACUAGUGAAGACCUUGGAACUACAAAUGUCAAUGUAGUCUUAGGAUGAUACUGGCAGGAAGGAGGCCUCGCAGGUCAGCUGAGAUUUGUGCAUAUCUGUGCUUACCAUAAAUAAUUAUGUGCCCAGAUCCAUCUUCUUCAUUGGUUCUGGCAUCCCACAACGUUCAUGAAAGUGAAUUUUAGGCAAUAGGGUUACAUUUGAAGAGAUCCCGUCUGAUCUGUCCGCGUUCCUUUUGCACACCGCUGCACCAACCCAGGUAACGAUCAGUGGAGGGUUGACUGAGCUCCCAGGACUCCAACUCCACCAGCCUCCCAGGUGACGUCCUGAGACAGUGCUUCUCAGACCCUCCUCCUCAGGUUCGGUGGGCAUGCCCUCGAGGUAGGUAGGAAGACCAGGAACCUCUGUUCUUAGACCCCUGGAGUGGGUGUGGUAGAUGCUGUCCAUGUUUACCCAAUACUUCCUUGGAAAUAGAACCCCCUAAUGUUUUUUUUAAACUUUUACAGGGAUAAUAAGUGUACCCCAAAAGCACCAGUCCUAAAUGCGUAGCCUGAUGAAUUAUUGCAUAUGUAUCCCCUUGUGUCAUCACCACCCAGAUCAGGAUAAAGAAAACUUCCAGCACCUCACAAGAGUCCCUCUUGCUUCUUCCCAGUCUGCAUCCCAACCCAACGGGAGCAGCACCUGUGUACUCAUUUAUUCUUCAGUCGUGCCCAGCUUGGGGACCGAUUUCCAUGGAGAUUACCUAGAGGUUUGUGCAGAACAGCUGCAGUCCAGGCUUUGCUGUGGUGAUUGUCUUCUGCCGGUCCCUGUGUGCUGUCACGGCCGCAAUGCUGACGGAGCUGCUCAGGAAGCCAGAUGAGAGCUUGGCGACACUGCGAAGAUGCUGGUGGCAGAUGGAGUGGCAGAGCAGGCAGCAAGCAAGCUGGAAUAUGGAUGUUCUGUCUCGGGAAAGGUUUUGCACAGCAGAAAAGAAGCGGGGUCAGAAACAAGUGCCAGAGGCAGGCAUGCAACUGUGGGCCAAGUGACAUCCUGCAUGCCAGGAGGAGGAUGGCAUCGGCCACGUUCCCACACAGACUGGGGACUCCGGGGAAGAAAGACACUCUCCAUUUUUUCACGUGCUUCACGUGGAAGCUUUCUGAGAGAGGAAAUCUGCGGUAUUGGGGGAACCCAUUCCCGUGUGUGCUGUGUACAACUGGAGGUAUUUUAAGGGGGUGGAAACUUACUGCCUACCUACUCUUUGUACAGAUGUGCUCCUGUUGAUUAAAGGAAUUGGCCC
rnacentral:lncRNA from 1 species